UGGGGAAUAUUGGACAAUGGGGGGAACCCUGAUCCAGCAAUGCCGCGUGUGUGAAGAAGGCCUUAGGGUUGUAAAGCACUUUUGGCAGGGAGGAAGUCUUGUUGUUUAAGAGAUGAGAAGAUUGACUGUACCUGCAGAAUAAGCACCGGCUAACUCUGUGCCAGCAGCCGCGGUAAUACAGAGGGUGCAAGCGUUAAUCGGAGUUACUGGGCGUAAAGGGCGCGUAGGUGGUUAUAUAAGUGAGAUGUGAAAUCCCUGGGCUUAACCUAGGAACGGCAUCUCAUACUGUAUGACUGGAGUAUUGUAGAGGGUAGUGGAAUUUCCGGUGUAGCGGUGAAAUGCGUAGAGAUCGGAAGGAACACCAGUGGCGAAGGCGGCUACCUGGACAAAUACUGACACUGAGGCGCGAGAGCGUGGGGAGCAAACA
rnacentral:rRNA from 1 species